rnacentral:rRNA from 1 species
AAAGGAAUAGACGGGGGCCCGCACAAGCGGUGGAGCAUGUGGUUUAAUUCGAUGCAACGCGAAGAACCUUACCGGGAUUUGACAUCUACCUGUUACCCUUUGAAAAAAGGGGUUCUCUUCGGAGACAGGAAGACAGGUGGUGCAUGGUUGUCGUCAGCUCGUGUCGUGAGAUGUUGGGUUAAGUCCCGUAACGAGCGCAACCCCUAUUUUUAGUUGCUAACACUUCGGGUGAGCACUCUAAAGAGACUGCCAAUGACAAAUUGGAGGAAGGUGGGGAUGACGUCAAAUCCUCAUGCCCUUUAUGUCCCGGGCUACACACGUGCUACAAUGGCCUAUACAGAGGGAAGCGACCUGGCGACAGGCAGCGGAUCCCUUAAAAUAGGUCUCAGUUCGGAUUGCAGGCUGCAAUUCGCCUGUAUGAAGCAGGAAUCGCUAGUAAUCGCAGGUCAGAACACUGCGGUGAAUACGUUCCCGGGCCUUGUACACACCGCCCGU